rfam:Pseudogymnoascus pannorum VKM F-3557 contig_329, whole genome shotgun sequence.
GCUGUGUUGCCAGAGUGGUUAAUGGGUAAGACUUGAAUUGUUUAUAAUUUGGUCAUCUUAUGGUUUCGGCCUCGUAGGUUCAAAUCCUGCACACAGCG